UGCGCAGGCGGGCUUGUAAGUCAGUGGUGAAAUACUGCCGCUUAACGGUAGAACUGCCAUUGAUACUGCGAGUCUUGAAUAUGGUUGAGGUAGGCGGAAUGUGUUGUGUAGCGGUGAAAUGCAUAGAUAUGACACAGAACGCCGAUUGCGAAGGCAGCUUACUAAGCCAUUAUUGACGCUGAGGCACGAAAGCGUGGGGAGCGAACAGGAUUAGAUACCUGGUAGUCC
rnacentral:rRNA from 1 species